rnacentral:rRNA from 1 species
CAGCAGCCGCGGUAAUACGGAGGGGGCUAACGUUGUUCGGAAUUACUGGGCGUAAAGCGCACAUAGGCGGCUUGGUAAGUUAGAGGUGAAAGCCUGGAGCUCAACUCCAGAAUUGCCUUUAAGACUGCCGAGCUAGCAGGUGAGAGAGGUAAGUGGAAUUCCGAGUGUAGAGGUGAAAUUCGUAGAUAUUCGGAAGAACACCAGUGGCGAAGGCGGCUUACUGGCUCAUACUGGACGCUGAGGUGCGAAAGCGUGGGGAGCAAACAGGAUUAGAUACCCCGGUAGUCCCUGUCUCUUAUAA